rnacentral:rRNA from 1 species
CACGUAGGGUGCGAGCGUUGUCCGGAAUUAUUGGGCGUAAAGAGCUCGUAGGCGGUGUGUCGCGUCGGCCGUGAAAACCUGCAGCUUAACUGUGGGCGUGCGGUCGAUACGGGCAUCACUGGAGUUCGGCAGGGGAGACUGGAAUUCCUGGUGUAGCGGUGAAAUGCGCAGAUAUCGGGAGGAACACCAGUGGCGAAGGCGGCGAUCUGGGCAGAUACUGACGCUGAGGUGCGAAAGCGUGGGGAGCAAACAGG